AUUGAACGCUGGCGGCAGGCCUAACACAUGCAAGUCGAGCGGAGCGGCGGACGGGUGAGUAAUGCCUAGGAAUCUGCCUGGCAGUGGGGGAUAACGUCCCGAAACGGGCGCUAAUACCACAUCCUAUCAGAUGAGCCUAGGUCGGAUUAGCUAGUUGGUGGGGUAAAGGCCUACAAAGGCGACGAACCGUAACUGGUCUGAGAGGAUGAUCAGUCAAACUGGAACUGAGACACGGUCCAGACUCCUACGGGAGGCAGCAGUGGGGAAUAUUGGACAAUGGGCGAAAGCCUGAUCCAGCCAUGCCGCGUGUGUGAAGAAGGUCUUCGGAUUGUAAAGCACUUUAAGUUGGGAGGCGUUACCAACAGAAUAAGCACCGGCUAACUUCGUGCCAGCAGCCGCGGUAAUAC
rnacentral:rRNA from 1 species